CCGCCCACUGCUUUGUGAUACACUUUCCAUGAGUCGAGUUGUUUGGGAAUGCAGCUCAAAAUGGGUGGUAAAUUCCAUCUAAAGCUAAAUAUUGGGGAGAGACCGAUAGCGAACAAGUACCGUGAGGGAAAGAUGAAAAGCACUUUGGAAAGAGAGUUAAAUAGUACGUGAAAUUGUCGAAAGGGAAGCGCUUGAAGUUAGACAUGCUAGUUGGAAUUCAGCCUUGCUUUUGCUUGGUGCAUUUUCCGGUUAGCAGGCCAGCAUCAGUUUUGCCUGUCGGAUAAGGGUAGGAGGAAUGUGGCCCCUCGGGGUGUUAUAGCCUCUUACUGGAUACGACGGGUGGGACUGAGGACAGCAGUGCGCCUUUAUGGCGGGCCUUCGGGCACCUUCGCACUUAGGAUGCUGGCGUAAUGGCUUUAAGCGAC
rnacentral:rRNA from 1 species